rnacentral:rRNA from 1 species
ACAGAGGAGGCAAGCGUUGUUCGGAAUCACUGGGCUUAAAGCGGGUGCAGGCGGCUCCGUAAGUGUUUUGUGAAAUCCCCCGGCUCAACCGGGGAAUUGCAGGGCAAACUACGGAGCUUGAGGUCGGUAGAGGUGCCUGGAACUCUAGGUGGAGCGGUGAAAUGCGUAGAUAUCUAGAGGAACGCCUGAGGCGAAAGCGGGGCACUGGGCCGAUUCUGACGCUGGGACCCGAAAGCGUGGGGAGCAAACAG